rnacentral:rRNA from 1 species
UACGGAGGGUGCAAGCGUUAUCCGGAUUCACUGGGUUUAAAGGGUGCGUAGGCGGGUAUGUAAGUCAGCGGUGAAAUCCCCGAGCUUAACUUGGGAACUGCCGUUGAUACUAUAUAUCUUGAAUGUCGUGGAGGUUAGCGGAAUAUGUCAUGUAGCGGUGAAAUGCUUAGAUAUGACAUAGAACACCCAUUGCGAAGGCAGCUAACUACGCGAAUAUUGACACUGAGGCACGAAAGCGUGGGGAUCAAACAGG